UCUUAUCGUUUAUCGGUUGGUACUUAAAGUGCGAUAUCCAUCCGAGUGCAGUUUACGUAUUGUGCGCGACGAGCGGGAAAUUUUCAUCGGGAUCCCGAUGGCUCGCGAGAGCGAUUAGCGAAAUCGACUGUCCGAUCGUUUUCACACGCUCGCUCGUCUCUGCGUGUAUAAGACACGUUCGUAAUCGAGUAGCCCCCCCCCGGUAACCGUUUCGCAACUUUCGCAAGAAUCGACGAGACGCGGACCAGAGUGAAACACGGGCGACAAGUGCAACGGAUAAACGCGUAUCCGACGCAUAAAUCGACCUUUACGUCGAAAACGAUAAAUUCCGUGAAUCGGAGCGAAGAAAACAAGUGGCGGCGAGAAUCUCGGAAGCGGUGCCGCGCCGCGCUCCUCCGCGCUUCGCGCGUCUCUCGGCGCGUCUCACGGCGCGUCUCUCGGUGUCUCUCGGUGUCUCUCGGUGUCCACUCGUUAAACGUACGCUAGCUCGAGUAUCGAUCGACCAGGGAUUAUUUUUAUCGCGAUCCAGUGAAUUCCACGAGUUUUCGUCGCGCGCGCGUGCGGACGUUGAGCGGAAAACGAAGACGGGUCACGACAAUACCCAUCCGAGUCGUUGCUACGUAUCGUGGACAGGCUGCUGCGCCACCGUUGAAUACCGUUCGAACCUGUGGAAUUUUACGCGAACUGGGACGCUCUGUUUUGGCCAGCGAUCAGCCAGAACUUCGCAGCUGUGCAUACAACCACGAGAACCGGUAACGUCCGAUCGAGUGAUCCGCUCGAGAGGAGGUCGGACGAAAGGAUCGGAGGGGUGAGGGUGAAAGGCAAAAUCGGUCGAAGCGAAAGAAAAGCAAAAGAGGAAGUAAAAGGCAGGACCCGCCGGCGGCGACAGACUGCACUCUCGCACCGUUCAGGGCGCAAGCGUGCACGUAUGUUGUGCGUUUCCGUGCCCUAACCCUGUCUCAACACGAGAGAGUAGUCGUUUCUCGGCGUUCUCAUCCCUACUCCACCAAUAUCGCCGCCGUUGCCGCCACCGUUAUCGCCACCGCCACCGCCGCCGUUACCGCUACCGUUACCGCUGCCGCUGCCGCCACCGACACCGUCACCGACGCUGCUGCUGCUGCUAUCGGCUCACCAUCCCUCCAACGCUCGCGAAGAAGCACCGCCAGAGCCGACGUAACGACGACGACGACGACGACGACGACGACGACCACAACAACAACAACAACAACAA